rnacentral:rRNA from 1 species
GAUGAACGCUGGCGGCGUGCCUAAUACAUGCAAGUCGAGCGAACGGACGAGAAGCUUGCUUCUCUGAUGUUAGCGGCGGACGGGUGAGUAACACGUGGAUAACCUACCUAUAAGACUGGGAUAACUUCGGGAAACCGGAGCUAAUACCGGAUAAUAUUUUGAACCGCAUGGUUCAAAAGUGAAAGACGGUCUUGCUGUCACUUAUAGAUGGAUCCGCGCUGCAUUAGCUAGUUGGUAAGGUAACGGCUUACCAAGGCAACGAUGCAUAGCCGACCUGAGAGGGUGAUCGGCCACACUGGAACUGAGACACGGUCCAGACUCCUACGGGAGGCAGCAGUAGGGAAUCUUCCGCAAUGGGCGAAAGCCUGACGGAGCAACGCCGCGUGAGUGAUGAAGGUCUUCGGAUCGUAAAACUCUGUUAUUAGGGAAGAACAUAUGUGUAAGUAACUGUGCACAUCUUGACGGUACCUAAUCAGAAAGCCACGGCUAACUACGUGCCAGCAGCCGCGGUAAUACGUAGGUGGCAAGCGUUAUCCGGAAUUAUUGGGCGUAAAGCGCGCGUAGGCGGUUUUUUAAGUCUGAUGUGAAAGCCCACGGCUCAACCGUGGAGGGUCAUUGGAAACUGGAAAACUUGAGUGCAGAAGAGGAAAGUGGAAUUCCAUGUGUAGCGGUGAAAUGCGCAGAGAUAUGGAGGAACACCAGUGGCGAAGGCGACUUUCUGGUCUGUAACUGACGCUGAUGUGCGAAAGCGUGGGGAUCAAACAGGAUUAGAUACCCUGGUAGUCCACGCCGUAAACGAUGAGUGCUAAGUGUUAGGGGGUUUCCGCCCCUUAGUGCUGCAGCUAACGCAUUAAGCACUCCGCCUGGGGAGUACGACCGCAAGGUUGAAACUCAAAGGAAUUGACGGGGACCCGCACAAGCGGUGGAGCAUGUGGUUUAAUUCGAAGCAACGCGAAGAACCUUACCAAACCUUGACAUCCUUUGACAACUCUAGAGAUAGAGCCUUCCCCUUCGGGGGACAAAGUGACAGGUGGUGCAUGGUUGUCGUCAGCUCGUGUCGUGAGAUGUUGGGUUAAGUCCCGCAACGAGCGCAACCCUUAAGCUUAGUUGCCAUCAUUAAGCUGGGCACUCUAAGUUGACUGCCGGUGACAAACCGGAGGAAGGUGGGGAUGACGUCAAAUCAUCAUGCCCCUUAUGAUUUGGGCUACACACGUGCUACAAUGGACAAUACAAAGGGCAGCGAAACCGCGAGGUCAAGCAAAUCCCAUAAAGUUGUUCUCAGUUCGGAUUGUAGUCUGCAACUCGACUACAUGAAGCUGGAAUCGCUAGUAAUCGUAGAUCAGCAUGCUACGGUGAAUACGUUCCCGGGUCU